GCCUUUGUGGUGUAGUGGUCAGCACGCUCGAUUUGUAUUCGAGAGGUCCGUGCUUCGAGUCCCGGGGAGGGCA
rfam:Stegodyphus mimosarum contig14370, whole genome shotgun sequence.